rnacentral:rRNA from 1 species
UACGUAGGGUGCAAGCGUUAAUCGGAAUUACUGGGCGUAAAGGGCUCGUAGGUGGCCAACUAAGUCGGACGUGAAAUCCCUCGGCUUAACCGGGGAACUGCAUCCGAUACUGGAUGGCUUGAGUUCGGGAGAGGGAUGCGGAAUUCCAGGUGUAGCGGUGAAAUGCGUAGAUAUCUGGAGGAACACCGGUGGCGAAGGCGGCAUCCUGGACCGACACUGACACUGAGGAGCGAAAGCCAGGGGAGCAAACGGG